ACACGUAGGAGCCUGACGUUGUUCGGAAUCAUUGGGCGUAAAGGGCGCGCAGGCGGCCGUCCAAGUCCGGUGUUAAAUGGUCGGGCUCAACCCGAUCAUGCGCUGGAAACUGGGCGGCUUGAGUCCCGUAGGGGAUGCCGGAAUUCCAGGUGUAGGGGUGAAAUCUGUAGAUAUCUGGAAGAACACCGAUGGCGAAGGCAGGCAUCUGGCCGGAGACUGACGCUGAGGCGCGAAGGCGCGGGGAGCGAACAGGUUUAGAUACCCUGGUAGUCCGCGCAGUAAACGAUGCGCACCAGGUGUCGGGCGGCAGCGCCCGGUACCGGAGCUAACGCGAUGAGUGCGCCGCCUGGGGAGUAUGCCCGCAAGGGUGGAACUCAAAUGAAUUGGCGGGG
rnacentral:rRNA from 1 species